UACAGAGGUCCCAAGCGUUGUUCGGAUUCACUGGGCGUAAAGGGUGCGUAGGUGGCCAGGUAAGUUUGGUGUGAAAGCUCGGAGCUUAACUCCGAAAUGUCAUUGAAUACUAUCUGGCUGGAGGGUCGGAGGGGAGACUGGAAUUCUCGGUGUAGCAGUGAAAUGCGUAGAUAUCGAGAGGAACACCAGUGGCGAAGGCGAGUCUCUGGACGACUCCUGACACUGAGGCACGGAAAGCGUGGGGGAGCAAACAGG
rnacentral:rRNA from 1 species